GCUCCCAUGGCGUAGUGGUCACUGCACUCGCCUAGCACGCGGGAGACCCGGGUUCGAUUCCUGGCGGGGUCA
rnacentral:tRNA from 1 species